GAAGCGUGGAGCUCGGAGCCCAUGUCCCUUGAAAGCGUUAAAUUUCUCCUUUCUAAGUUAGUGCUGCGCGGUCCACCUUUCUCCACCUUCCGGUGUGGGCGUCACUACGAACCUUAAAUCCCAGCAGCCGGCCCUCCGCCCCGCGUAAAUCCAGACGUCGCCGUUACAGGAUAGACCUCUAAAGACUCAUGUUGUCUGAGGAAGAAGCCUGGAAGAGGAGGAAGAGGAAAGAACUGGAGUCUGCAAUGGCUCUUUCUCAGGAACAGUUGAUGUUCAAGGAUGUGGCCAUAGAAUUCUCUCAGGAGAAGUGGGAAUGCCUGGACCCUGCUCAGUGGGCCUUGUACAGUGACGUGAUGUUGGAGACCUACAGGAACCUGGUCUCCCUGGGUGAGGAUAACUUCCCUCUAGAAGCUGGGAUCUGCUCUUGGAUAUCUUUGCAUUUUUUCUGUGUGCCUCUUGGGAGCCCCUGUUUUGCUUGACUGAUCUGAAAUCCCUGUUGACUUGGACAUGAAAAGCUCCAGCUUGUGGCAUCAGAGGUUUAAAAUUACCUUUUCCUUUGAUGAUCUGCCCACUUUGUGAUCCAUGAAGGGUUGUUCCAGAACUUAAUGUAUUUAUAAUUCCCAAUGGCAAACUCUUAAUGUACUCAGUUUCCUGUUUUCUACCCAUGCGCUUCCGAUUUAGGAGUUCUAGGUAGUGAGCUUCAUUUGUGCAUAUUAUACUGUUCCUGUGUAUUCAGAAGGAGGCAAGCAGUGGGUGAAUUUUGGAAUUAUUUUUCUAGACCCAUCAGUAAUGUCCUCAAUCCUUAGCUUAACAAAGAACUAGGCUUCUAGAAAAGUCACAGCAAAUUAUGUUUCCUUCCUAUAUGGAGGAAUUUCUAGUUCUCAUCUGAAUGUUUUACCCAUUUUGUAGCAAGAGAAAGAGUGCUGUGUUGUGGAGAGUGAUGUGAAUGUGCUUGGGGAUGUAUCAAAAUGUGAACACAAGUCAUAGCUAAGAAGCGCAGAGGGGAAGCCUGGGUAGUCAUAGUGUUUGUGAAACUCCCCUCAUUGGAUUGAUCUAUGGAGAUACAGAAAUUUACUUACUGUUGUGACUGCUGAGUGUAAAUUUUUCUUCUUUGUAAUUUAUCACUCUGUCCUUCAACAUGUAAAAUGUAUUCUUUCAUCCUCCAUUGGUAGUGCACCUCCUACAGAGAGAAAGGCAAAGUCUUAAUCAUGGUCUGUAACACUGCCCUCCGGCUCCUGUGAACUCCUUGGUGCCUGACUUUGAGGAGCAUGAGGUGGGCUAUUUUAUCAGGGUCUCUUUCCCCUUCAUCUGUCCUUCAGGGCAUGAUUCCAUCGGGUGCUCUGUUUUCCGUCCAUAUAGAGAAGAGCUGAUGCCUCAAGACUCUAAUCCCUGGACCUUUCCCAUUUCUAUCCCCGUUUGAUACUCUUAGAAAACCCAAAGAGAAGAUGGGAAAACACUAGCUGCUCUUUGAUUCCAUCUGGCACCUCCGAACCUGCAUGGAGCUGUUUCAAGCCCUCUCUGGUUAUGUAGAUCCCUCAGACAUUUCUUCUGUUCUGCUUUUGU